UACAUGGGGUGCAAACGUUGCUCGGAAUUAUUGGGCGUAAAGAGCGCGUAGGCGGCCCGGUAAGUCCGCUGUGAAAGUCAAAGGCUCAACCUUUGAAUGUCAGCGGAUACUGCCGGGCUAGAGUCCGGAAGAGGCGAGUGGAACUCCUGGUGUAGCGGUGGAAUGCGCAGAUAUCAGGAAGAACACCAACGGCGAAGGCAGCUCGCUGGGACGGAACUGACGCUGAGGCGCGAAAGCGUGGGGAGCGAACAGG
rnacentral:rRNA from 1 species